AAGUAGUUUAUCUAAGUAUAGGAAACAUUAAGUCUAUUUUAACAACUUGAGCUUGUAUAUAUAGACAAGAGAUACUCAGUCUUCAUAUUAGUAACAAACUAUUCUUCAAAAACUCAACAUGAAUUCAAAGGUAGUAAUUGUUAGUGUUGCCGUCCUCGCCUGCGUCGUCUUGUGUCAGGCUGACGUACCAAGAAGAACUCGUGCCGCAACAGAAGACACGUCUGCUACUCUACCCAACGUUAAAGAAUUCACAGAGUUGUUCGAACAAAUUCAGAAUAAUCCUUCUGAAUUCUUUACUACCAUAUCUAAGGCUUUUAAGAAGAGAUUCGGCUCCCUCAGCGGAGGUUUAAGUAAUACUGGCACAAGCAAGUAACUGGCGUGAAUUAAUGACUUCAUAUAUACCAUGCUUGUAAUGUAAUUAAAUAAAAUAAUAUAUCGUGCA